GUCUCCAUUCUCUCCCAGCUUUCCCUCCCCCUCCAUCCCCAAUGCCUCUUGUAAGGAAGGGGGUGCCGGGAGUGCUUAGCCAGGGUCAGCCUGGCGCCCGCCACCCCACCCUUGACUCCAGCUUCAAGCAGAUGAGAGAGUUGAGACAAGGAAAUUAUAUGCACUGCUCAGUAUAACACAGCUGGAUACAAGCUUCAGGCAGGCAAAGUACAUCAUCUCUCCCAUUCACUCCUGUACCUUGAGCAGCAUCGAAUACUGUGCCAGACAUAUGCAGUCUCCUGCCCCCAGGAGUGAGCAUGAAGCUGGAUCCAACACCCCAUCCAUCCUGAGGUCUAGAGGCAUUAAUGGAAGCACGAGCAUGUUCUGGAUGGUUUUGGAGAGAAGAGCAACCUUCCCUACACAUGAUUGCUUAGAUGAGCCUCCAAACGCUGGCAUGUUCUGAAGAAGGAAGUGGAGAGGCGCGGGCGUUGCAGAGGGAGCCUCGAGCUGAGCUGGGCUGGGAGUCAUUAAAGGAGGCGGCUGUCCCCGGGGCCCCAGACGGCGUCUCAUCAAGAUGCCCUGGAACUCGCCCAGCUUUGCUUCAGAUGUUCCAAGCUCAUUUUGGAUGCUUCUGCCUACGGGCCUGGCUGUGCCAUGUCAGCAUCUUUGGGAUGGAUAAAGACAAGUUUGCUCUAGAACUACAAGUUCCAUAUCCACAUCAGUAGGAGCCUAUGGGACACAGCAUCAUUAAACUGAAGGUAAUUGGUCCUGAAUACAUUUGAAAUUCCUUCAGAGGUCCACAGGCAUGCAUGAGAAAACUCAGGCUGGGUUUACAUCUCCUUCCAUGUGUAACCAGCACAGUUAUAUUCUCACGAAGCUCUUAGCAUGGGUGACAAUCACAUUCCCUAGCAGAGGCUGCUGGAUUUCACCAGGCAUCCACAAUCAUUUAUUCCCCAUUCGGUCCUUCUUUUCUUAUCUGUUACUCCUCCAAUUCUUCAUUUAGACCCUGGCAUGCAGGACCCAUUCAUCCAUCUAUCCAUUUCUUUGCAUCCGAUCUUUGCCUAAGACUGUCUUCCCACAGUGGGCAAUUCUCAGGCAUGUUCCAUACAGUCUCUCAGAAGCUCCCAGCAGGGCUGAGGAGCACUUACCCACAGCAUCAGUCUGCUUCUUACAUAAUUUUUACUAACAUUCCUCGAUUCCUUGUCUCACUUCUCCAUUCUCUUAUUGUGCUCCCUAAAGCUACCUCCCAGAUAAAGAAUUUGCACCCAACCCCUUAUCUAAAAGGUCUCUUUGGGGAAAGACAAAGUAAGAAGACAUUGUCAUGGAAACAGGGGCUUUUCUUCCUGAUCACCUCCACCACCCAUGAUUAUGCAUUUAUUAGAGCCACUCUUUGCUAAUAAAGACCAUAACCAGUCCAUCUCCAUCAUUACACUGUUAGAAUCAGCACUGGGACUCUUGAAGCCAUUAGUUCUCCACUGGCUACCUAGCAUCUGGCACAGAGCAGGUGUUCAGUGAGUCUUUCUUUGGCGAGUACAGGGAGAUGCUAGACUGGUAAUCCCAGUGCUAGAAAUUAAAUUUUUUGACUCAGUCCCUGCUGACAGCCUGAGAGAAGCAACAUGCAAUAUUUGUAAUACACUCUCCUGAAAAUAAAUCCAUUCAUUAGCAUUGGAUGUGACGAGGUCUUGGGAAGGAGUGCUGAACCCAGCUAAAGGGUGAUCAGUGAAGGCUUCCCAGAGGACAUAUAACCCCAGGGAAGAAGGGCAUGUAUCCUGAGAGUCUGUGGGAUUUUGAGAGAGGCAGAAUACAAGGAUCUUCUUCUUGGGCUUGAUAGUCAGGAAAGUUUUAAUACCCUCUAAUUCAGAGACUGAGAACCAGACUUAUCAUAUUGUUAUAAAUAUGAAUAACGGAAACUGCAUGGCAGAGGUAUCAGUAAUAGCAUGAGCAUUAAAGGUGAGCGCUCAGAUGUGGUUUUAGAAAUUAAGCUGAUCUAAAAAUACUCUUGUGGAGAUGCUCUCCUUUCCUGGAGGCAGUGAUUAGGGCAGCAGGGGGGCGUGGCCCAGGAAGUUUCCUGUCUGUCAAGGCUUGUCAGUCCCCAGGGGCCCAGAGUCUUGUUUCAGGAGCAGAUGUCUCCCCAGCAGAGCAUCUAAACUCUGAACUCUGCUUCUGUCUUUUAAGAUUCAUACCUAACACUGUCAACAAAGCCUGUUUUCAUUUUUAAAUGUCCUUAAUGCUGGGAGGGAUUUGCAGAAUUGUUUAUCAGCUGUCAUUAUUGAGUGGGAUCCAGGUUUGUCUCUUGCGUUAUGGUAAGGCUAAUGCUGCAACAAGCAACCUCAGAGGAGUCACUUAAUUUGUGAAAAGUGUACUUGCUCAUGUUAUGUGGAUUGGAUGUUUGAAGGGUGAUCUUCCAGGACUGUGACUUGGAGACCCAGACCUCUUUGGAUUGGUGGUUCUGCCCUCCCCUGGGGUCUAGGGACCCCAGGAUGCCCUGCACCCUUCCUCCCAGCAGAAUGGGGAAAUGCCUCGCAGGUGGCAUGGGAGGUUGCUCUGGUUGGCUUGGGGAGGUUUGCUGUUCCUGCUCAUAUACCAUUGGUUAUAGCUCAGCUCCAUGCUCCACUGAAAGGCAGGAGAGCCUGAGAGCUGUGGUCCAGCUGUGUUCCCAGGCAGAAGAGAUAACAGGAUUUUGUUAGGACCUAGACUUUUCUCCCAUACAUUUCAAGGCAUAUUUUGGAGGAUGGGACCAUAAGAAGAUAACCAAAAGCAUCAUUACUAUAAGUUAAUGAAAUGCAAUCUACCUUUACUUUCAAAAAAAUUUUUUUGGAGUACAAUUGACUUACGAUGUUGUCUUAGUGUCUGGUAUACAGCAGUGAAUUAGUUAUAUGUAUACAUAUAACCAUUCUUUUUCAGAUUCUUUUCCCAUAUAGGUUAUUAUAGAAUAUUGAGUAGUUUUCCCUGUGCUAUACAGUAGGUCCUUGUUACUUAGUUAUUUUAUAUAUAGUAGUGUGUAUAUGUUAAUCCCGACCUCAUAAUUUAUCCUUCCCCCCAACUUUUCACCUUUGAUAGCCCUAAGUUUGGUUUCAAAAUCUUUGAGUUGGUUUCUAUUUUGUAAGUUCUUCUGUAUAAUUUGUUAUUAAAUUCCAUAUAUUAGUGAUAUCAUAUGAUCUUUGUCUUUCUCUUACUUCACUUAGUAUCAUAAUCUCUAGGUUCACCCACAUUGCUGAAAAUGGCAUUAUAUUAUUCUUUUUUAUGGUUGAGUAAUAUUCCAUUGUAUAUAUGUACCACAUCUUCUUUACGCAGUCCUCUAUUGAUGGAUAUUUAGGUUGAUUCCAUGUUUUGGCUAUUGUAAAUAGUGCUGCAGUGAACAUUAGGGUGCAUAUAUGUUUUUGAAUUAUGAUUUUCUUUGGAUAUAUACCCGGGAGUGGGGUUGAUGGGUCAUGUGAUUACUCCACAUUUAGUUUUUUAAGGAACCUCCAUACUCUUCUCCAUAGUGAUUGCACCAGCUUACAUUACCACCAACAUUGUAGGAGGGUUCCCGUUUUUCCACACUCUCUCUAGCAUUUAUUGUUUGUAGACUUUUUGAUAAUGGCCAUUCUCACUGGUGUGAGGUGUUACCUCAUUGUAGUUUUUAUUUGUAUUUCUCUAAUAAUUAGUGAUGUUGAGCAUCUUUUCAUGUACUUUUUGGCCAUCUGUCUGUCUUCUUUAGAGAAAUAUCUGCUCAGAUCUUUUGACCAUUUUUAAAUUGAGGUUUUAUAUAUAUAUAUAAGCUGUAUGAGGGAGCUCCCGUCAUGGCACAGCGGAAAUGAAUCCCACUAGGAACCAUGAGGUUGUGGAUUGGCUCCCUGGCCUUGCUCAGUGAGUUAAGGAUCUGGCAUUGCCAUGAGCUGUGGUGUAGGUCGCAGACGUGGCUUGGAUCCCACAUUGCUGUGGCUGUGGCGUAGGCCAGCGGCUACAGCUCUGAUUAGACCCCUAGCCUGGGAACCUCCAUAUGCUUUAGGUGAGGCUCUGAAAAUCAAAAAGACAAAAAAAAAAAAAAAAAAGCUGUAUGAGCUGUUUGUAUAUUUUAGAGAUUAAUCUCUUGUCAGUCGCUUUGAUUGGUGAGGUUUUUCUCCCAUUCUGUGGGUUGUCUUUUCAUUUUGUUUAUGGUUUCUUUUUGCUGUGCAAAAGUUUUAAGUUUGAUUAGGUCCCAUUUGUUUAUAUUUGCUUUUAUUUUCAUUACUCUAGGAGGUAGACCAAAAAAAACACAUUUCUGUGAUUUAUGUCAAAGAGUGUUUUGCCUACAUUUUCCUCUAAGCACUUUAUAGAAUCCAUUCUUAUGUUUAGGUCUGAGUUUAUUUUUGUUUAUGGUGUUAAGGAAGUGUUCUAAUUUCAUUCAUUUGCAUAUACCUGUCCAGUUUUCCCAGAACCACUUAUUGAAGAGACUGUCAUUUCUCCAUUGCAUAUUCUUGCCUACUUUGUUGUGGAUUAAUUGACAUAGAUGUGUGGAUUUAUUUCUGGGCUUUCCAUGCUGUUCCAGUGACCUCUACUUCUGUUUUUAUGCCAGUAUUAUUCUAUUUUGAUGACUGUAUCUUUGUAGUAUUGUCUAAAGUCAGAGAGCCUGAAUCAUUCAGCUCUGUUUUUCUUUCUCCAGAUUGCUUUGGCCUUUUGGGGUCUUUUGUGUUUCCAUAUAAUUUAAUUUUUUUGGUUCUAGUUCUAUAAAAAUGCUUUGAUAAUUUAAUAGGG
rnacentral:lncRNA from 1 species